ensembl:rRNA 5S_rRNA 5S ribosomal RNA
GCUUACCGCCAUACCACCUUAGGCACGCCCGAUCUCGUCUGAUCUUGGAAGCUAAGCAGGUUUGGGCCUGGUUAGUACUUGGAUGGGUGACCGCCUGGCAAUACCAGGUGCUGUAAGCA